AAUGAACGUUGGCGGCGUGGAUUAGGCAUGCAAGUCGAGCGAGAACCCCGCAAGGGGGGACAGCGGCGAAAGGGACAGUAAUGUGUAGAUUAUCUGCCCUCAGGUCCGGGAUAGCUGCGGGAAACUGCAGGUAAUACCGGAUAACAUCUCCGGAUCAAAGGUGUGAUUCCGCCUGAGGAUGAGUCUGCAUCCUAUUAGCUAGUUGGUGGGGUAAUGGCCUACCAAGGCAUUGAUGGGUAGCGGGUGUGAGAGCACGACCUGCGUCAUUGGGACUGAGACACUGCCCAGACACCUACGGGUGGCUGCAGUCGAGAAUCUUCGGCAAUGGGCGCAAGCCUGACCGAGCGACGCCGCGUGUGGGAUGAAGGCCUUCGGGUUGUAAACCACUGUCAGAGGGGAUGAAAUGCAGGUGGGUUCUCCCAUCUGUUUGACAUAGCCUCAGAGGAAGGACGGGCUAAGUUCGUG
rnacentral:rRNA from 1 species